rnacentral:rRNA from 1 species
UACGAAGGGUGCAAGCGUUACUCGGAAUUACUGGGCGUAAAGGGUGCGUAGGUGGUUUGUUAAGUCUGCUGUGAAAUCCCCGGGCUCAACCUGGGAAUGGCAGUGGAUACUGGCAAGCUAGAGUGCGGUAGAGGGUAGUGGAAUUCCCGGUGUAGCAGUGAAAUGCGUAGAGAUCAGCAGGAACACCCGUGGCGAAGGCGGCCCCCUGGGCCGAACCUGACGCUGAGGCGCGAAGGCUAGGGGAGCGAACGGG